UCCUACGGGAGGCAGCAGUAGGGAAUCUUCCGCAAUGGACGAAAGUCUGACGGAGCAACGCCGCGUGAGUGAUGAAGGCUUUCGGGUCGUAAAACUCUGUUGUUAGGGAAGAACAAGUGCUAGUUGAAUAAGCUGGCACCUUGACGGUACCUAACCAGAAAGCCGCGGCUAACUACAUGCCAGCAGCCGCGGUAAUACGUAGGUGGCAAGCGUUAUCCGGAAUUAUUGGGCGUAAAGCGCGCGCAGGUGGUUUCUUAAGUCUGAUGUGAAAGCCCACGGCUCAACCGUGGAGGGUCAUUGGAAACUGGGAGACUUGAGUGCAGAAGAGGAAAGUGGAAUUCCAUGUGUAGCGGUGAAAUGCGUAGAGAUAUGGAGGAACACCAGUGGCGAAGGCGACUUUCUGGUCUGUAACUGACACUGAGGCGCGAAAGCGUGGGGAGCAAACAGGAUUAGAUACCCUGGUAGUCCACGCCGUAAACGAUGAGUGCUAAGUGUUAGAGGGUUUCCGCCCUUUAGUGCUGAAGUUAACGCAUUAAGCACUCCGCCUGGGGAGUACGGCCGCAAGGCUGAAACUCAAAGGAA
rnacentral:rRNA from 1 species